rnacentral:rRNA from 1 species
AUUGAACGCUGGCGGCAGGCCUAACACAUGCAAGUCGAGCGGCAGCGGGAAAGUAGCUUGCUACUUUUGCCGGCGAGCGGCGGACGGGUGAGUAAUGCCUGGGGAUCUGCCCAGUCGAGGGGGAUAACUACUGGCAACGGUAGCUAAUACCGCAUACGCCCUACGGGGGAAAGCAGGGGACCUUCGGGCCUUGCGCGAUUGGAUGAACCCAGGUGGGAUUAGCUAGUUGGGGAGGUAAUGGCUCACCAAGGCGACGAUCCCUAGCUGGUCUGGGAGGAGGAUCAGCCACACUGGAACUGAGACACGGUCCAGACUCCUACGGGAGGCAGCAGUGGGGAAUAUUGCACAAUGGGGGAAACCCUGAUGCAGCCAUGCCGCGUGUGUGAAGAAGGCCUUCGGGUUGUAAAGCACUUUCAGCGAGGAGGAAAGGUUGGUAGCUAAUAACUGCCAGCUGUGACGUUACUCGCAGAAGAAGCACCGGCUAACUCCGUGCCAGCCGCCGCAGUAA